rnacentral:rRNA from 2 species
CCUACGGGCGGCAGCAGUGGGGAAUAUUCCGCAAUGGGGGAAACCCUGACGGAGCAACGCCGCGUGAGCGAAGAAGGCCUUUGGGUUGUAAAGCUCUGUCUUCAGGGAAGAAACCUUAAGAGAGGAUAAUGCUCUUAAGCUGACGGUACCUGAGGAGGAAGCCCCGGCUAACUACGUGCCAGCAGCCGCGGUAAUACGUAGGGGGCGAGCGUUGUCCGGAAUUAUUGGGCGUAAAGCGCGCGUAGGCGGUCAUUUAAGUCAGGCGUGAAAAACCUAGGCUCAACCAAGGUAUUGCGUUUGAAACUGGAUGACUUGAGGGCAGGAGAGGAUAGCGGAAUUCCUAGUGUAGCGGUGAAAUGCGUAGAGAUUAGGAGGAACACCAGUGGCGAAGGCGGCUAUCUGGCCUGUACCUGACGCUGAGGUGCGAAAGCUGGGGGAGCGAACGGGAUUAGAUACCCCUGUAGUC